rnacentral:rRNA from 1 species
AGCGAACGCUGGCGGCAGGCUUAACACAUGCAAGUCGAGCGCCCCGCAAGGGGAGCGGCAGACGGGAGAGUAACACGUGGGAACAUACCUCUUGGUUCGGAACAACUGAGGGAAACUUCAGCUAAUACCGGAUAAGCCCUUACGGGGAAAGAUUUAUCGCCGAAAGAUUGGCCCGCGUCUGAUUAGCUAGUUGGUGAGGUAACGGCUCACCAAGGCGACGAUCAGUAGCUGGUCUGAGAGGAUGAUCAGCCUCACUGGGACUGAGACACGGCCCAGACUCCUACGGGAGGCAGCAGUGGGGAAUAUUGGACAAUGGGGGCAACCCUGAUCCAGCCAUGCCGCGUGAGUGAUGAAGGCCUUAGGGUUGUAAAGCUCUUUUGCCCGGGAAGAUAAUGACGGUACCGGGAGAAUAAGCCCCGGCUAACUUCGUG